UAGCCAGGUGGGGGUCAGGCUCGGCAACAAGUGACAGGCCAAGAGAAAAGGGCCUCAAGUUGUGCCAGAGGACGUUUAGAGUGGAUAUUAUGAAAAAUUUCUUCUCUGUAAGGGCUGUCAAGCUCUGGAACAGGCUGC